UGUUUAGACUUUUUUGUCUCAUUUGAUUUUUACAUAUUUCUUUUUUAAAUUCCUUUAGUUUGUUUUGCUGUAUUGCAUUUGCAUUCUGAUCUGCCUUCAUUGCUGUUGUGUGUGUGUGUAUGUGUGUGCGUCAGUACCGCAGGUGCUAAAAUUGCUGAAAUUACUGUAUCAGUGGCCUGGCUUUAAUGAACACUGUGAUAUUUGGACAUUUUUGUCAAACGACAAAGUGCCUUCUCUGCACAUCUGCUACUGAAAAGGGAGUGAUGGUGCUUGAAAGAGGCAAGGGGUUGUUUUGAUAAUCACUUUGACUUGUUCCCCCCUUCUUAGUCCUUUUAAUGUGGUAUCAUUAUUACUGAAAUGUAAUUAGGUAUGCUAAUUGGCUGACAUUUGGACUUCCGUCUCAGCACUUACGUCGAGUCUGGUAAAAAUGUGUUGUAAAUGAAGUGGGAUGGCGAAUGGAGAGGCUGAAUGGACGUGAGGGUUGAGUGGAGGUGCUGAGAGCGUGAUAGAUGGUGUUAUUGAGUGCUCGGGCUGAAGUACUCCAGCGGAAGUGCAGAGAAGUUUUUUUUUUUUUUUAUAAAUUAGGGAUUGUUGGGGUGAAAGAGAAGAGCUGGAGUCAGGAAGUGGAUAAAUAAGCUGUUGGAAGAAGCAGGGGUAGAAAAGCCUCUAAACCCUGUGAAAUCAGUGCAGUGGGAUGGGUGUGCGUGCAAGUGUUGCAAAAUAGGUUGUGUGUGUGUGAGAAAGAGUGUGUGAAGCAAUUAUAGGGUACCUCUGCGGCGUACAACAAAGCCAUCCAUUUAGUGCACGAUGGUGUUCACAGGCACGAUCCAUUAAUGUUGUGCUGCAAGACGCACUAUUUUCAGAAAUCUAAAAAAGCCUCAUCAUAUACACACACAUUCAUAGUGACUGUCGUUUAAGCAAUUAAUCCAGGUUGGUAUGCAGCUGUUAGAUGAAUUUAAAUGUCCACCAGCUUGAAUAAUAUGAAGAUAAUAUGAUUAAAUCAAUGUAUUACUACAUUAAUACUUGACAUCAGAGUGUGUGACCUUGUACAGUAAGUAUGUGGAGUGCCCGUCCAUAUGUGAUCGGCCAUAAUCAUGGCUGGUGAGUUGUGGAGUCAUUAAUAGAUUAAAAGAGAUCAGAAAUGCUUUGAGUGCAGAGCGGGGUCAUCUGAGAGGCUGAGGUUUAAAGCUGAGCUUGUUCUUUCUGUCCUCUUCUCUUGCUUUCUUUUGU
ensembl:lncRNA